AGCAGCGUGGCUCAGUGGAAAGAGCCCGGGCUUGGGAGUCGGGAGUCAUGGGUUCGAAUCCCGGCUCUGCCG
rnacentral:tRNA from 1 species